rnacentral:lncRNA from 1 species
AGGUGACUGAGAGAAAAACUGAGAUCAAUUUUGGAUUUCGCGCUAAUAGAUAAAUAAUAAUAUUAUCUCUAAUUAAUUGUACAAAUUCCCUCCCCCCCCUAAUUGUUGCCCUGUGUUAUUUAUAUUGCACAAGAUUCAUAGAUUGACGAAAAAGCAUUAGCAUAAUCAGUCAAGAACCGUUAUGUCGUUAUUAUUCAAGAUGUGACAGAAGAAGAGGCGGUCAGCUGUGAGAAACCACUGAGAGGAUCAGGGAUUAAUAAUAGAAAUCCAGUAAUAGAAGAGUACAACUAAAUGAAAGAAGAUAACUUUUAAGUUCGGUAUAGUUGGAUCAAUGUGGAGUUGCAAUAGAAAUAUGAUCCUCUUCUCUUCAUGAACCUCUUUUCUUGUCCAAAUAGAACAAAACAGGUUGCAUCACGUAGUUACUCAAAUCAUCAAAUUUGUAUAUCUAGGAUUGUGAAUUCUUACAUCCAAUAGAUAACCAGACAAGUUAUAGUAACCAUAUAAGUAUUUAUAGGUAGAGAUGGGAUUUUUGUAAGAGUGCGAGGAUAACCCAAGAGCAAAACAUAUGGUAUUACUGAAUUAAGACCAUUGUUAAUAUCAGCUUCUUGGUGUAUAAUUUUUUGGGAGAAAAUGAAUUAUUGCUAUAAAAAGGAGAGUUUCCUACAUUUAAAGUAGCAUUAGCACAGCGAAAAUAAAACAAUUAUAUUUAAAUUAAUACCUAAAUUUAUUUUAUUAUGCAUUUUUAAAUAAGUUUACACCCAUGAUAUGCAAUAAUUCUUCUUUUAGAGGGAGAUCUUAACAGACCAACGAUUUCUGAAAUAAUGAAUAUAAAAGAAGAAAGAGUACACGCAUCAAUCGUUUUUCUUUUUCUAAUCACUUAUAUUUAGUUUUUUCUAUACACGGAUCCCUUUUUUACUUGUAACAAAGUAGCAAAAUGCAACUGUUAGCUUGAGCAAAUAGCAUGCUCAAUAUUUUUUCGCGAGAUGUUGUUGUUUCUAUGACGUCACUCUCUUGUUGAUCUUACGAGCACAACAUAUUGUAGAAGAAAUGUUUUUUCCAAGAACAAGACAAAAAAGUAUCUAAAGCCUGAUGCUGUUCCAACCAUAUUGUCUGAGUUUAAAUCCUAACCACAUCAUAGCUAUGGUAUGUAAAUAGAGGGGAAAACAUGCUUACGAGGAGUAUGGAAUAAUGUUACAUCAAAGAGAAGGAUGCUGUCUAUGUUUAGGAACCAUGAUCAUUAAGAGCCAUGACAACAAAGAUAGACGAGGCAUGGAAGGCCGCUUUCACUUCCAAAAUAGAUUAUUUGGACGCAAGUGGGAAGUUACUUGAUGCCCCACAAACAUAUUAAAAAAUAAAAUUACACAUCUAUAUUCCCAAAAUCAUAAAUUUUGCUGAAAUUAUUUGCAAAUUUGACUGUACUAUUUUUGAAGAAUAUAAUUGUACACCUGCAGAGAUUAAAUCAGGAUAGCUGAGGGCAACGCUUCAGCAUUGCUAUUGCAGGAUAAGUGAAUUUUGACGUCUGUGUUUCCUGGAAGUGAACACUUGUUCCCGUUGUCCCGCCAAUUUAUCUUGUUUAUCUCCGUUUUCGGUACCAAUUUUUCCAAUGGAAUUUGUUUAGUGGUGUACAUGAAGCUUCCCUUAUAGGCUACAUAUAAAUAAUGUUGCUGGAAAAAAUGACCUGAAAUGCGCUUUUAUAUCAGGAAUUCGUGACACAUAAUGUGACCGUAUAAUGUUUUAAUAUAAAAUUAUAAAUAGAUACAGUAAAUAACGAUGAACGAUAUAUCCAAUUUAAUAAAAACUAAAGGAACACAGUAUUAAGAGUAAACAACUUUAGAAAUAAAUUAAAAAUUGCAAA